AGAGUUUGAUCCUGGCUCAGGAUGAACGCUAGCUACAGGCUUAACACAUGCAAGUCGAGGGGAAACGACAUCGAAAGCUUGCUUUUGAUGGGCGUCGACCGGCGCACGGGUGAGUAACGCGUAUCCAACCUGCCCACCACUUGGGGAUAACCCUGCGAAAGUAAGACUAAUACCCAAUGAUAUCUCUAGAAGACAUCUGAAAGAGAUUAAAGAUUUAUCGGUGAUGGAUGGGGAUGCGUCUGAUUAGCUUGUUGGCGGGGUAACGGCCGACCAAGGCGACGAUCAGUAGGGGUUCUGGAGAGGAAGGUCCCCCACAUUGGAACUGAGACACGGUCCAAAAUCCUACGGGAGGCAG
rnacentral:rRNA from 1 species